AUCCACCUAGGCAAUUUUUACUGUUGCGAUUUUACUGUACCGAUGGAGGAAAGAAACAGAACGCCGGCGCCCUCGCAGUCGCAGCCCGCACCCAGCGCUCUCUUUCCUUUUCUCCUCCCAGCUCCAGCUAGGGUUGCCGCCACCGCCUCCUUCGGUCCUCCCAUCCCCAUCCUUCGCCGCAACAACGACCGCAGAGGAGCAGAGUGGCCGGCGGCAGAUCGGCGCAAAUCAGAGCGAAGUCGGGGCGGCGGCCGGGCGCGAUCUGGAGAACCAGUGGUGUUCUCUUUCGAAAUCUCCUAGCGCCGGCCCCUCCACUUCUCUCCUCCUCAUCUCCUGGCGUGCACGUAUCUUAUCUUUCUCCCUCCUCUGCCGCUGCAAUUCCAUGUGUGUGUUCGUUGCUAAUCAGUGUGUGUUCUAUGAAUCCAAUCCUUUAGUCUGCAGUGGGUGCUUUGGGGUUUCUGUGGGAAAAAGGAGAGGAUCUGUGAUGCGUAGAUUGCCGGGUCGCACCACUACGCUCGCGACGGCUUCGCGGACCAGCUGCCGGAGAUCGUCGAGGCCACCAGGGGCAAGGAACCCUCGUCUUGCAGUGCGCCUUCAGCCAGGAUACGGUUGAUGAUGUAGUUGGAGAUGGAUGGUUCUUACUAAGAUACAUCUGUAUAUGUAUGUGGUUUUGCUUCGGUUGAAGAUAUAUGUGUGCCUUAAAGACAUAUCAGAAGUCAAAUUUCUAGGUAAAAUCUGAUCAAGACUACUAGACGAUCCAAGUGGAAAACUAUUUCACUUUCAACUUGUAUAUCAUGUCUGACCAUGGAAGGUUAGAUGGUAAUAUUGAAUUCAAAAAGAUGGAUGCCAACUAUUUAAAACACGCCUCUCACAAAAAAGUAUAAAUGGAUUGGUAACUUGAGUCAUGGGAUUGGUGAGAGUAGUUCGCAAUCUCUUGAAUUGGGUGAAUUUCAUCACAAGAAAGAAGAAGGAAAUUGGUAAUAGUAAAUUGGAUGUUAUACGAUUUCUUACCUGACAUCCUUUUGUUCUGGCUUGUGACUUUUGGAGCUGUUGAAUGGCCUUUGUUGUAAGUGAAUGUCUUGAUUAGUAAACUUAGGUGUAUUGCUUAGGUAGGGUGAACAUUAUGUACUUGUUUCCUUCCACUGCUUGUUUUUCCCUUCUUUUUCUCACAGUGGUUUGCUGGUGCUCCUCACUAGCUUGCAGGCAUUGACUCCGUCGCUGCCUAUUCGGCGGAUUGAGGCACCCAUUCAUCACAUGCGAGCUUUGAGAUUAUUUGGUAAUCAUUGUUCUUCUGUUUCUUCCUUUGGUGUCAUUUCAGAGGUGCACUAGAACAUGCAAGCAUUUCAAAGGAUUAGAAAUGUUUGUCUAGAGUAGAGUGCCCCCUUUUAUCUUGGUAUAUGUACAGUGCUCGAUGCAUUAGUGUGGCCUAAAAUGUUUGAAUCUUCAAAUGUUUUUGAAAAUUAUUUUUAUAUUCAGAUGACUCAAUGCUAAAAUGUUUGACUCGAUGUCUUAGUUGUAGUACUGAUUAGAGUUUACAUGAGAAAAUACUUACGCUUGGGAAUCUACCUCACGCUGUCACGCACCUUCCUAAUGUCUCUCCUCUUCACGUUGGUACUGCUGUGUAUGUAUACGUUUUACUGUCAAUCUCCCUCGUCUUUUACACUUUUUAAUGCAUAAUAAUGAAUUUCGGCAUACGAGCUCGUUAUUGGCCACACAAAGACUAAAAGCUAUGUCGAGUAUGUAGAUGCAUCGACCAUAGUAUCUGGUUCCACUGACAACUCGUUCAAGCUUUGGGACUUGUCUAUGAAUCAAGCAAGAGUAAUUGACAAUCCAAUUCAGACUUCUACAGGGCAUAUAAAUACAAAGAUUGCAGAUUAUUGACAGAUAUUUCUGUGUACUGUCUGCCCAGACACUUCCGAAAGUAGAAGAGAAAUGGCGAAGAACUCCCACGAGAGAUGUACACAUUAUUAUGAAUGAUGGGCAGCUAAUCGGCGGAGUUGGUGUUCUUUGCGACAGUGGCAUUGCUGGUGGCUGUAGAGAAAGCUCUCUUAUACAUGUGCACUGUCCGUUAUGCAUUUCUGUAAUGCUGUCUUAUUUUUCCCAGCAGGAAGAUGCAUUUGUGUAUGUGCAUUGCCUGUAACGCAUUUCUGUUGCCAUAUCAUUUGGGUUGUUUGUCUUCUCACUAAACUAAGCCUAGUGUGAUACAAUCAUGUUAACAAAUGUGGCAGCUUGAUUAGCACGCA